AAAAAAAUACAAAAAAA
rnacentral:sRNA from 1 species